rnacentral:lncRNA from 1 species
UGAUAGUGAUCAUGUCAGGACAGUUACUACUGCGUCACUGAAGUGUGCAUCUCUGUGUUGUGGUUGGCUGUCUGAUCUAUGCAGUGCAUUGCUGUUAGCUCUGCUCACCCCCGUGCGAGAGGAACACACAGCAGAAAGAGGACUUCUCCAAGGACUUAGGACUUCACUGGACACAGUGCGUUGUUACCUUUGGGCAGGAUGGCCAUCGUGCACAGCACUUCGUCCUCAGAUCCCAUGUACUCCUAUGCAACCGUGACAGACCCAGGGGCAGAUGCCAAGGGGAGCUGAGCCACUUCUUUAGCAAGAAGAUUUUAUCAGAAAAAAAAAGAAAGGAGGAAAAUCAGUAUUCCACUGUUAGUUUGGGGAAAGCGCUAAAGCUAUUUAGGUCAUUGAAGAGUGCUGGCUACAAAUAAAAGCCCGCAUCUCCCAUCUUGAGUAGCAAAGCUGCUGCUGAGCUUACAUCUCUCUGCGGGAGAGGCACAGAAGUUUUCAGACAUGGAGGACGAGGAAAGUUCCAGAUCUCGAAACAGAAUAUCCUGAUUGGAAACUAUAAUAAAAUUUUUCUAAUAACAUGUAU